GGGCAGGUGGCGCAAUGGUAGCGCGUCCGCUUCGCAUGCGGAAGGUUAGGGGUUCAAGUCCCCUCCUGUCCA
rnacentral:tRNA from 1 species